GGCUGGUCUGAAGGCAGUGAGUUAUUUCAAUUGAUUGUUCACAGUCAGUUACAGAUCGAACUCCUUGUUCUACUCUUUCCCCCCUUCUCACUACUGCACUUGACUAAUCUAAA
ensembl:Y_RNA Y_RNA Y RNA